rnacentral:lncRNA from 1 species
GAAUGGGCUUAUUCGAGUAGACUUCAUGGAGUAUAAAAUCAGUUAUCUCGAUAACCGAUCAGAACGAUCGCUUAGAUUCCCUAUGAAUAUAGUACUACAGUCCCACAUUAAUAUAAAUAUUAUCAAGCUUCUUUUUCUAUUUCCAAAUGAAUAUAGUACUCCAAAAAGCCAAUCUAUUAAAUAUAUCAUAUAUUUUAGUGUCCUGUUGCCAUUUCUCAACCAUCCAACC